rnacentral:lncRNA from 1 species
UAUUCUCAACCCUCAUUUUUCAUUUUCCACUCCAUUAAAAAAAAAGAAAAGGAAAACUUCAAAUAUCACCCUGUAAUCUUGCACUUUCUCACUUUAGUACCCUACGGUUUAAAUUAUAAGGAAAACUUCAAAUACCCCCUGUGGUUUCGCACUUUCUCACUUUAGUAUCGUGUGGUUUCAAGUGUAUCAAGUUAGUACCGUGUGGUUUCGUACUUUCUCACUUUAGUACCCUUGGUUUCAAGUGUAUCAGAUUAGUACCAUGUGGUUUCGCAUUUUCUCACUUUAGUACCCAGUGGUUUAAUAUUUCGUUAAAUUAUAUACCCCGAAAUGGAUAAUAAAAACAGAAAAUUGAAAUCAUAGAGUAUUAACUUGAUAUAAAAAUGAAACCACAGGGUACUAAUUUGAUACACUUGAAACCAUAGGGUACUAAAGUGAGAAAGUGCGAAACCACAUGGUACUAACUUGAUACACUUUAAACCAUAUGGUACUAAAAUGAGAAAGUGCGAAACCACAUAGGGGUAUUUGAAGUUUCCUCUAAAUUGUAUCACUUUCGUCUCUUGUGGUUUCACUUUUCUCUUUUGGAAAAACUUCAAAUACCACCCCUGUGGUUUCGCACUUUUUUACUUUAGUACCUUGUGGUUUAAAGUGUAUGUACCAUGUGGUUUCGUACUUUCUCACUUUAGUAUCAUGUGAUUUAAAGUGCAUCAAUUUCGUACUCUAUAAUUUCAUUUUUCUCUUUUUGUUAUUCCCUUUAUUAAUUUUUUUCAUUACAUCAGUAACAAAAUUAAAACUAAAGGGUACUAAAGUGAAUAUUUGAUAAACUAUAGAUGGGUAUCUGAAAUUUUUGGUAUAUGAUUUAAUAAAAAGUUAACAGAGGGACUGAUGAAAAGAAAAAAAAUAUAACCACACGAUACGACAUUAAUUAAUACACUUUAAAUUACAUUUUCUAAAAUGGAAAAGUGCGAAACCACGGGGUGGUAUUUGAAGUUUACCCAAAAAAAAAAAAAAAAGAAAUAUAUGGGGG